rnacentral:rRNA from 1 species
UACAGAGGGGGCAAGCGUUGUUCGUAAUUACUGGGCGUAAAGGGCGCGUAGGCGGCCUUCUAAGUCGAACGUGAAAUCCCCGGGCUCAACCCGGGAACUGCGUCCGAUACUGGAAGGCUUGAAUCCGGGAGAGGGAUGUGGAAUUCCAGGUGUAGCGGUGAAAUGCGUAGAUAUCUGGAGGAACACCGGUGGCGAAGGCGACAUCCUGGACCGGUAUUGACGCUGAGGCGCGAAAGCCAGGGGAGCAAACGGG